rnacentral:rRNA from 1 species
CUUGCUUCUCUGGAUGAGUUGCGAACGGGUGAGUAACGCGUAGGUAACCUGCCUGGUAGCGGGGGAUAACUAUUGGAAACGAUAGCUAAUACCGCAUAAGAGUAGAUGUUGCAUGACAUUUGCUUAAAAGGUGCAAUUGCAUCACUACCAGAUGGACCUGCGUUGUAUUAGCUAGUUGGUGGGGUAACGGCUCACCAAGGCGACGAUACAUAGCCGACCUGAGAGGGUGAUCGGCCACACUGGGACUGAGACACGGCCCAGACUCCUACGGGAGGCAGCAGUAGGGAAUCUUCGGCAAUGGACGGAAGUCUGACCGAGCAACGCCGCGUGAGUGAAGAAGGUUUUCGGAUCGUAAAGCUCUGUUGUAAGAGAAGAACGAGUGUGAGAGUGGAAAGUUCACACUGUGACGGUAUCUUACCAGAAAGGGACGGCUAACUACGUGCCAGCAGCCGCGGUAAUACGUAGGUCCCGAGCGUUGUCCGGAUUUAUUGGGCGUAAAGCGAGCGCAGGCGGUUAGAUAAGUCUGAAGUUAAAGGCUGUGGCUUAACCAUAGUACGCUUUGGAAACUGUUUAACUUGAGUGCAAGAGGGGAGAGUGGAAUUCCAUGUGUAGCGGUGAAAUGCGUAGAUAUAUGGA